AUUGAACGCUGGCGGCAUGCUUUACACAUGCAAGUCGAACGGUAACAGGCCGCAAGGUGCUGACGAGUGGCGAACGGGUGAGUAAUGCAUCGGAACGUGCCCAGUCGUGGGGGAUAACGCAGCGAAAGCUGUGCUAAUACCGCAUACGAUCUAUGGAUGAAAGCGGGGGGCCGUAGGCCUCGCGCGAUUGGAGCGGCCGAUGUCAGAUUAGGUAGUUGGUGGGGUAAAGGCCUACCAAGCCGACGAUCUGUAGCUGGUCUGAGAGGACGACCGGCCAAGCGGGGAGUGGAACACGGCCCAGACUCCUACGGGGGCAGGCGGGGGGGAAUUUUGGAAAAUGGGCGCAAGCUUGAUCAAGCAAUGCGGGGGGAAGGAAGAGGGCUUUCGGGUUGUAAACUGCUUUUGUAGGGAACGAAACGGUUUGGUUAAAUACCCUGGGCUAAUGACGGUACCGAAAGAAUAAGCACCGGCUAACUACGUGCCAGCCGCCGCCGUAA
rnacentral:rRNA from 1 species